ACUCUCGCUGUGACUGUCAUGAAAUUCUGGGGACUCUAAAUGUGACUCAUGAAAUUCUGGGGACUCUAAGUGACUGUCAUGAAAUUCUGGGGACUCUAAAUGUGACUCAUGAAAUCCUCAGUGACUGUCAUGAAAUCCUGGGGACUCUCAAUGUGACUCAUGAAAUUCUGGGGACUCUAGAUGUGAAUCAUGAAAUUCUGGGGACUCUCUCGCUGACUGUCAUUCUGGGGAUUCUCUCACUGUGACUGUGAUGAUAUGGUGGGGGCCAUUAUGUCUAUUCCGCAUGUGUGUCUAUAUUAGUGUUGGCACAUGCACAUUUUACCUGAAUAGACACGUCUGUGUUUCUUGUACAGUUAAAUCUUCAGUUAAAAUGAGAACAUCGGGCCAGAUUAAGUGUGUUUACGUGUGUAUGCGAGUGUAUAGCUCUUAUCCAUGCUAAGGACCUUCCCAGGGGUCUGCACACGUGUGUGACGUCAUUUCUGCGUCAGUAACAUUUUCGGCUUAGCCCCCUGGGGAUGAGAUCUCUUACUGUAUAAAUAACUGUAUAAGUGCAGUGCUUCAUGAAGGUGCAGCCAUACAGAAAUGGGGGCCCCACACUGUGCCUGUCAUGAGAUGCUGUGGGGCCUACACACUGUGCCUGUUGUACUGCCAUUCAUUUCAUUUGGCUUGAGUUUCAGUAUCACUAUGUAUAUUAUAUGAAUGCACUGAGAGAAGCUGCCAUCUACAUCAUUACCCAACGGGCGCUACGUUUGCUAGUGUAUAUAUAUAUAUAUAUAUACAGUAUAUAUAUACAGGGGGGAUACCCUUGGCCACUCCCAUGGCAACAUUGCAGCUUGUGCCCCUGCCCUGACUAAAAGCAUUUUCCAUGAGGGAAACACGGAUGGGAAGCUUUGGUUGUAGCACAUAAACAAAUGGGUGAAAAACACCAGGUCAAGGCUCAUUGUCUUGUCCGGUCCAGUUCUGUCUCUCAGUAUUUCUCUGGUUUUAUUUCAAUCUGCUCCAGCCACAACUCUGGCCCAGUUGGAAUGUGGUCAUUUUAUAUCCGUUCCCUGCCCCUCAGGUUUCUGCCCCAGUAAAUAGAUAAAGAGAUCUAUGGCCCAUAUAAUAGAGCUUGCCAUAUACAUUUACUGUGUUGGGAACGUGUGUGCUGCUGUGUCUGACAGGAAAAGGCAACAAUCAGCCACAGGCUUGGAGACAAAGGGGCAGCAAAUAAUAGGGGGAGGGGCUCAGACACUGAAUAGCCCACACUGUGUCCUGCCAACCAAACCUGAUGAACCAGUGCAGCCUUUUCCUUCCUAAGAGGGGAGGGGCAGACUGCUGCAGAGGAUAUGAUUGGCUUAAUAGUCAAAGGGCUGAGACUUGGAGUUAAGGGCUGUGGGUAAUUUUUGCCAGAACAGCCAAAAGGAAUCAGCCAGGCUACUUAGUAAAAGCCUCUGGGAGGUGAUCUGAGAGAUAUUUGUGCGGUACAGAGAUAUGUGAGGAAUUGUCUCCCUUCCCUUACUGAGCCGCUCUCACUCCCACCUCCCAAGCACCCGGGACCAUUGGUUUGUAGCCGGAGCAGGGAACUCUGGGAACUUCCACACAGGGUCACUUCCAGGUCAGUCCCUCCCACGAGGAACCAAUGGGAAUGUGGGAGGAAGCGAGU